AAUUCAUUGCAGACCUCACUUACAUGGAGCGGAAGGGGCCAGACUGAGACAGUGGGAAAAUACAUUGAAGAAGUCCUCAUUAUGUACGGGAGGAAGAAAAACAAUGGACAAGGAAACAGAAAUUGAAUCUACUACUGUGAAAUGAAGCCCUGCAGAAUGACUCUGUCAGUCAUGUGUAGCAAGGAAGGGAAACACAACCUAACUGCUCCAUGGAAACAGAGGCACGUGUGUAUGAUUCAAAAUGCAAUUUGCAUCUGCUCUUCAGACUGUAAGGUGGGCCACGCUAAUUGCUGUCACCUCAGCCCCUCCACAGCAGGAAGCAGGUUUAUGAACAUACCCUGUGUUUCACAUCAUACUCUUCUGGAUGAAGUCAGUCACAGAUCAAAGGUAACCUCUAACUC